UCUUAUGGAUGAGCAAAAAAAAAAGUGGUUUCUUGAGAUGGAAUCUACUCUUGAUAAAGAUGCUGUGAA
rnacentral:pre_miRNA from 1 species